GAUGCGUUGUUGAUGAUGACAUUCGUCCCAAUGGGAUGUGGUGUCAUGUCCCUUGUUUAUCCUGGUUUUAAGCUUGUUGAGCUUAAAAUGCUAGGAUUAUCGGUUAGUGACACGGCAUCGCUCCAUUGGUUGAUGAAUGUCGUCCAAUGCGGUGGUGGUGGUUKGGUUUUGUUCUCGCAUCGUUCGGUGCAUUCUGGGGUCAUUUUGGCUGUUAGCGGUUUGCUUGGCGUUUGAGCUUGGUGGGCGGCUAUAGGCUGUGUGUCUUCGGGGAUGUAUAUCGUAAAGGUGCAUGAGUGGUGUUUGGUGUGUUACGGGUGGUUGGCUCUCUGCUUGCGCAACAACUUCCUCCCGGCAUACCUCUUCAGUCUCGUGUCAAUGCUUGUAUGGCAUUGAAUSCUUGAUGGGUUUCUUGUGUUGCAUACCUAAUUGAUGGUAUCRUUUGAUGAAUUGGUUUCCCUUUUCGUCGUGCGUCGCCCAUGYGAUGUGAGAUGAACCUUGAGGCAGCCCUUGUGAUCCACUAUUUUGAUGCAUACGCAUUGAUUUUGUGGCCCAUUGAGUGAUGCUUGGUCUCAUGGAUAUGGAACCUGGUGUGGGCAUGGAAUUUUAAUGGUUCCUUGUUUGCCCAAAUUUAGCUUUUCUAAAACGAUUGUCUAUCG
rnacentral:misc_RNA from 1 species